UCGUACAAAAUUGUACGUCGACGUACAAAUAUACAUACACUUCGACGUAUAUAUUUGUACGUCGACGUACAAAUUGUACAUCGACGAACAAUUUUGUACGUCGACGUACAAUUUUCUGAGCAGCCAAUCAAAAAACUCCUCUCUUGAAUCGCUUUUCCUUCAGAUUUAUUCAUAAGAAAUGUUCAAAAUCUCUUUUAAAAUUGAGGAAAAAAAAUUAGAUUUGAAACAGAAAAGAAAUAAACAUAAGUAUCUACUUGACGGUAUUUAUUCUAAAAUCGCUUUAUGUAAUGAAUAUUAUCUAGUAACUGCUGAGACCGGUCUAGUCCAUUUCCGGUUUCUGAAAAAUAUGGCGGACGCCGAAGGUUUUCGAGAAGUAGCAACUCGCAUUGUGCACUUUUUAUGUAGAAGUUUAAUGACGCAAUAUACAGAUGCAAAUUUGUGUGAAUCUAUUCUAACACUUUGACAGCGUUAAGCCGGUAUGCACUUCGUAUGUGUACCCGUUUUCCCAUUUUGAACGGCUGUGUGAGAUUCUCGACUCGUUAUGUCAACAACUGAAGAUCGAAAGAGGUUAGUAUUUUCCCUGACCAUUUAAAUAAUUUUCGAUCCCAUUACUUGCGGACCAUUUUUUAUGGAGUUGGUGCUCUUGAUCUUACUAUAAUUUUAUUUGUGUUAUAACCUUUGUUGCUUUAAUCUUUUCAAAACGCUGCAGCAUCUCAUUGGUUUCUUCGCCGAAAAACAGACUACAACGCGAGGCAGACCACUUUACGUCAUUAGUCGAGAGCAGCUGGAGUAUCUAGUUGAAGCGGGCUUCAAACGACGAGCUAUUGCUAGUCUGCUUCAUGUGUCAGAUUCGGUUAUUAAGCGCCGCCUCAGGACAUAUUGUAUAAGCAUCAGGGGAAGGUACUCGAGCAUCUCCAACGAGGAACUUGACAAUCUGGUCCGAGAGAUAACAAAUGGCAAUCAGACCACUUGGGCAACGAAUGGUUCAGGGACAACUUCAGAGUCUAAGACAUCGGGUUCAAAGACAACGUGUUGCUGACAGUCUGAUCUGGGUCUACGAAGCAGCCGUAGCCAUGCGAUGGUGUCACUCGAUUUGGCAAAGGGUAUACACUGUUGCUGGUCCAAACUCAUUGUGGCACAUAGAUGGAAACCACAAAUUGAUAAGGUGGGGUUUUGUCAUACACGGAGGCAUCGAUGGCCUCUCGCGGAUGUGUGUUUUCCUCCAAGCUGCGGCCAACAACAAGGCUACCACGAUGACAAAAGUCUUCAUGACAGGCACCCAGCGCUAUGGUGUCCCAUCAAGAGUCCGGAACGAUCAUGGACUGGGGAAUACCAGGGUUGGGGCGUUUAUGAUAGCGCAUCGUGGACCUCGUCGGGGUUCUUUCAUCACGGGAAGGAGCGUUCACAAUCAGCGGAAUCAGUUGCCAGUGCAACAAGCGUGUUUCACAGCUUGUUUACAUAUCUUGAGGAGUCUGGACAGUUGGAUUUGGCAAAUCCAGUGCACAUGUGGUGCCUUCAUCACUUGUUUGUGCCUCGUGUCCAGCAACAUUAGACAUAUUUCGUGAGGGCUGGAACUUGCACAGGUUGAGUGGUGAAAGAGGUAGAACCCCCACACAGCUCUACAUUGAGGGCAUGAUGCGCCAAUCUGGACAGGGUCAUAGGGGCAUCGACGACAUGGUGUUCCAUGCUUCGGAGGAGGCCAUCCAAGACCAUGACAAAUAUGGCAUUGACAUUGAGGUCGAGGUAGCACCCCGAGAAGACAUGAUCACCAAUGUGUCAAAUGUAGACUGUCCUCUAAACGAGCAGGACUUCACAAGACUAGAACAAACUGUGAACAUUGAAAGUGAUCACCAGGGUGUGGAUUGUUUCUUGGCAUGUGUGGAGUUCUGCAAUUCUGUGUUGUGACCAAGAUAUGAUAAACACGAAACUAUGUACAUGCAUGUCAGAUAAAGAUGUUUAUAUACUCAUGUCGUGUUUCAGCUAUUGUGGCCUACAGCAAAAUAACUUAAUAAGCUUGACAUUUUGUACAAAAUUAAAGUUCUUACAAGUGAAAAUUAAAUAGAUGUUUCUAUUUCCCGAAACUUCAAAUUUUUUAAAUAGUUUAUGUUUCAAGGAAAUCUUUUCAUUCAGUAAGAAAAAAAUAACCAUGGCUGACAGAAAAUUUGUUAAAAAUGUAAAAAGAAAUGUACAAAAAAAUAUAACAAAAUAUAUGAAUAAAGGAGAACUGGAUAUAAUUAUCUGCCCAUUUUAUGAGUUAGUUGGGAUAUAGAUACAUGUAUGCAUAAUAAACAUCCUUUUAUGAAAAUAAUUGAUAAAACAAUUGUCAUAAGGUAGCGUAAAAAGAGUCUCGAACAUGGUCAGUUUUAUUUAUAGAAGAUUCAAGGACUAUUAUGAACACAAAAAUGUUUGUCAUUGAAUACCGUGGCUUUGAAAUCAAUGUUCAAAGUUUGAUCAACUUAUCUUGCGUAGUUUUUGAGAUAUGAUGACCUGAAUGGGACAAAAAUGAGAAGUUACAUAUGAAGUAUCAGUAAUUAGUGCUAUGGAAUUGUUGCUCUUGUACAGCAUCAUAUAUACUGUUUUAUAUGGCAAGAAAGGACAGUAAUCUUGUACAUUAGUUUUUGAAAACUAAUACUUAGUAUAAAAACGUAAUAUUAUGUUGCACUUCCUACUUAAUUUAUUGCCAUUUGAUGAUUCAGUAUUUUUACUCAAAAGUACAUAGCAGAUCUAUAUUUUUCAUUUUUUUAUGCACGAUGAAAACCAAAGCAGGAAAAAAAAAAUCAGUUGAAAUAUUUAACAGUUUAUUGUAGAUAUUGAUAAGAUUUUAUAAAUACAUAAAUGUGACUGU